rnacentral:rRNA from 1 species
AACGAACGCUGGCGGCAUGCCUAACACAUGCAAGUCGAACGAGACCUUCGGGUCUAGUGGCGCACUGGUGCGUAACGCGUUGGAACCUGCCCUUAGGUUCGGAAUAACUCCCCGAAAGGGGUGCUAAUACCGGAUAAUGUCUUCGGACCAAAGAUUUAUCGCCUUUGGAUGGGCCCGCGUUGGAUUAGCUAGUUGGUAGGGUAAAAGCCUACCAAGGCGACGAUCCAUAGCUGGUCUGAGAGGAUGAUCAGCCACACUGGGACUGAGACACGGCCCAGACUCCUACGGGAGGGAGCAGUGGGGAAUAUUGGAAAAUGGGGGAAAGGCUGAUGCAGCAAGGCCGGGUGAGUGAUGAAGGCCGGAGGGUUGUAAAGCUCGUUUACACGGGAUGAUAAUGACAGUACCGGGAGAAUAAGCUCCGGCUAACUCCGUG